CCUACGGGAGGCAGCAGUGGGGAAUAUUGGACAAUGGGCGCAAGCCUGAUCCAGCAAUACCGCGUGAGUGAUGAAGGUCUUCGGAUUGUAAAGCUCUUUUAGUGGAGAAGAUAAUGACGGUAUCCACAGAAAAAGCACCGGCAAACUUCGUGCCAGCAGCCGCGGUAAUACGAAGGGUGCUAGCGUUGUUCGGAAUUAUUGGGCGUAAAGCGUACGUAGGCGGCUUGAUAAGUCGAGUGUGAAAUCCCAGAGCUCAACUUUGGAAUUGCAAUCGAAACUGUCUCGCUAGAGUUUGGUGGGGGAUGGCAGAAUUUCUAGUGUAGGGGUGAAAUCCGUAGAUAUUAGAAGGAAUACCAGUGGCGAAGGCGGCCAUCUAUGCCAAUACUGACGCUAAGGUACGAAAGCGUGGGGAGCAAACAGGAUUAGAUACCCCGGUAGUC
rnacentral:rRNA from 1 species